AUUGAACGCUGGCGGCAGGCCUAACACAUGCAAGUCGAGCGAGCGGCGGACGGGUGAGUAAUGUAUGGGGACUGCCCGAUAGAGGGGGAUAACUACUGGAACCGGUAGCUAAUACCGCAUACUAUCGGAUAACCCAUAUGGGAUUAGCUAGUAGGGGAGGUAAAGGCUCACCUAGGCGACGAUCCCUAGCUGGUCUGAGAGGAUGAUCAGCCACACUGGGACUGUGACACGGCCCAGACUCCUACGGAGGCAGCAGUGGGGAAUGUUGGACAAUGGGGGCAACCCUGAUCCAGCCAUCCCGCGUGUAUGAUGAAGGCCUUCGGGUUGUAAAGUACUUUCGGUCGGGAAGCGGUAUCGGCAGAAGAAGCACCGGCUAACUCCGUGCCAGCAGCCGCGGUAAUAC
rnacentral:rRNA from 1 species